rnacentral:rRNA from 1 species
UUCCAGACUCCUACGGGAGGCAGCAGUGGGGGAUAUUGCACAAUGGGGGAAACCCUGAUGCAGCGAUGCCGCGUGAGUGAAGACGGCCUUCGGGUUGUAAAGCUCUGUCGCAGAGGACGAAAAUGACGGUACUCUGCAAGAAAGCUCCGGCUAACUACGUGCCAGCAGCCGCGGUAAUACGUAGGGGGCAAGCGUUAUCCGGAUUUACUGGGUGUAAAGGGAGCGUAGACGGCGCUGCAAGUCCGGAGUGAAAGCCCAUGGCUUAACCAUGGUACUGCUCUGGAAACUGUGGAGCUUGAGUGCGGGAGGGGCAGGCGGAAUUCCUAGUGUAGCGGUGAAAUGCGUAGAUAUUAGGAGGAACACCGGCGGCGAAGGCGGCCUGCUGGACCGUAACUGACGUUGAGGCUCGAAAGCGUGGGGAGCAAACAGGAUUAGAUACCCGUGUACC